ACUAAUUUCAGUCCCUAAUACAUGCCUUGAACAUAACAGAUCGUCAGUGAAUAUUUGGGGGAAUCACAUUUGUUGUAUUGGUUUUUGUGAACAAAUCUCAUAAGUGUCACAGUUGGAGUAAAGCACAGAGAAGCUGAUCCUUUGAAUCAUCUUAAACAGGUGGGAAGCCACUGUCUCCUUAGUAAAGACGAAGGAGAUUUGAGUGACAAGAAGGUUUUCAGCCCAUCCGAAGGUAUUUAUUCUAAUACUUGAUCCCAGCUAGCCAAAUGGAACAAAUAAUCUUCCAUAAGCAGGCGCUUUUUCUCCCUACCUAAUGCCCUUCCUCGUCCCGGCCGAAGGAAGAGCAAGAUGGUAACAUAAAACAAGAAGACAACGUGAAGAGCAUCUCCCUGUUGAUUGUUUUGCCCAAUCUUAGUUAAUAGGACUAGAUUUGAUCAUUCUUGGGGGACAAUCAGUGUUAAUAUAUAUUUGGUUCCUUAGUUUUCUCAUAAUAUACUCAUUUAUUUUUUUGCCCACUCAAUUAACAUAUAAUUACCAAUCAACCAGUAAAUGAAAA
rnacentral:lncRNA from 1 species